rnacentral:lncRNA from 1 species
GUACGACAUUUGGAGGCCCCAGCGAGAAACGUCACCGGGAGAAACGUCACCGGGCGAGAGCCGGGCCCGCUGUGUGCUCCCCCGGAAGGACAGCCAGCUUGUAGGGGGGAGUGCCACCUGAAAAAAAAAUUUCCAGGUCCCCAAAGGGUGACCGUCUUCCGGAGGACAGCGGAUCGACUACCAUGUGGGUGCCCACAAAAAUUCCACCUCUGAGUCCUCAACUGCUGACCCCGGGGUCAGGAACUGUUGGAAACUACUGAAACUGGCCGACCUGAUCUUCAAAAUGUGCCCCUAGGAAAGGUGGAUGCCACCGUGUUCACAGACAGUAGCAGCUUCCUCGAGAAGGGACUACGAAAGGCCGGUGCAGCUGUUACCAUGGAGACAGAUGUGUUGUGGGCUCAGGCUUUACCAGCAAACACCUCAGCACAAAAGGCUGAAUUGAUCGCCCUCACUCAGGCUCUCCGAUGGGCCAGAUCUGCCUGACAAUCCCGCAUACUCAACAGAAGAAGAAAACUGGCCUCAGAACUCAGAGCCAAUAAAAAUCAGGAAGUCUCCCCAACAGGUACAAGAUAUCAUCCUGCCACUUGUUCGAGGAACCCAUCCCAAUCCAAUUCCUGAACAGACAGGGCCCUGCCAUUCAUUCCCGCCAGGUGACCUGUUGUUUGUUAAAAAGUUCCAGAGAGAAGGACUCCCUCCUGCUUGGAAGAGACCUCACACCGUCAUCACGAUGCCAACGGCUCUGAAGGUGGAUGGCAUUCCUGCGUGGAUUCAUCACUCCCGCAUCAAAAAGGCCAACGGAGCCCAACUAGAAACAUGGGUCCCCAGGGCUGGGUCAGGCCCCUUAAAACUGCACCUAAGUUGGGUGAAGCCAUUAGAUUAAUUCUUUUUCUUAAUUUUGUAAAACAAUGCAUAGCUUCUGUCAAACUUAUGUAUCUUAAGACUCAAUAUAACCCCCUUGUUAUAACUGAGGAAUCAAUGAUUUGAUUCCCCAAAAACACAAGUGGGGAAUGUAGUGUCCAACCUGGUUUUUACUAACCCUGUUUUUAGACUCUCCCUUUCCUUUAAUCACUCAGCCUUGUUUCCACCUGAAUUGACUCUCCCUUAGCUAAGAGCGCCAGAUGGACUCCAUCUUGGCUCUUUCACUGGCAGCCGCUUCCUCAAGGACUUAACUUGUGCAAGCUGACUCCCAGCACAUCCAAGAAUGCAAUUAACUGAUAAGAUACUGUGGCAAGCUAUAUCCGCAGUUCCCAGGAAUUCGUCCAAUUGAUUACACCCAAAAGCCCCGCGUCUAUCACCUUGUAAUAAUCUUAAAGCCCCUGCACCUGGAACUAUUAACGUUCCUGUAACCAUUUAUCCUUUUAACUUUUUUGCCUACUUUAUUUCUGUAAAAUUGUUUUAACUAGACCCCCCCUCUCCUUUCUAAACCAAAGUAUAAAAGCAAAUCUAGCCCCUUCUUCAGGCCGAGAGAAUUUCGAGCGUUAGCCGUCUCUUGGCCACCAGCUAAAUAAACGGAU